rnacentral:siRNA from 1 species
GAGUGACUACUGCAAACUUGAAG